rnacentral:rRNA from 1 species
UACGAAGGGGGCGAGCGUUGUUCGGAGUUACUGGGCGUAAAGGGCGCGUAGGCGGCGAUCCAAGUUAGGCGUGAAAGCCCCGGGCUUAACCUGGGAAUUGCGCUUAAGACUGGACUGCUUGAGUGCGGGAGAGGUGAGUGGAAUUCCCAGUGUAGAGGUGAAAUUCGUAGAUAUUGGGAAGAACACCAGUGGCGAAGGCGGCUCGCUGGCCCGCAACUGACGCUGAGGCGCGAAAGCGUGGGGAGCAAACAGG